UUUUAGCCCAGAUAGAAAUGGAAACCUCACAGUGAAAAAAGGUUGUUAUUGCUCUGGUUUUAGAGCGACCAUCGGACCCCGAUUGCUAUACGGGACUGCAAGUGCAUUGAAACGGCUGCUUUAUGAACCAGGAGUUGCAAUGGAGAGCUGGAAUUGCU
rnacentral:misc_RNA from 1 species